rnacentral:rRNA from 1 species
AUUGAACGCUGGCGGCAGGCCUAACACAUGCAAGUCGAACGAGUGGCGGACGGGUGAGUAAUGUCUGGGAAACUGCCUGAUGGAGGGGGAUAACUACUGGAAACGGUAGCUAAUACCGCAUAACAUAGGAUGUGCCCAGAUGGGAUUAGCUAGUAGGUGGGGUAAAGGCUCACCUAGGCGACGAUCCCUAGCUGGUCUGAGAGGAUGACCAGCCAAACGGGACCGGAGACACGUGCCAGACUCCUACGGGAGGCCGCAGGGGGGAAUAUUGCACAAUGGUCGCAAGCGUGAUGCAGCCAUGCUGCGUGUAUGAAGAAGGCCUUCGGUUUGUAAAGUACUUUCAGCGGGGAGGCGUUACCCGCAGAAGAAGCACCGGCUAACUCCGUGCCAGCAGCCGCGGUAAUUC